GGCUGAGUAGCUCAGUUGGUUAGAGCGUUGUGCUAAUAUUGCGAAGGUCUUGGGUUUGAUCCCCAUGUUGGCCA